rnacentral:rRNA from 1 species
CCUACGGGAGGCAGCAGUAGGGAAUCUUCCGCAAUGGACGAAAGUCUGACGGAGCAACGCCGCGUGAACGAUGAAGGCCUUCGGGUCGUAAAGUUCUGUUGUUAGGGAAGAACAAGUGCUAGUUAAAUAAGCUGGCACCUUGACGGUACCUAACCAGAAAGCCACGGCUAACUACGUGCCAGCAGCCGCGGUAAUACGUAGGUGGCAAGCGUUGUCCGGAAUUAUUGGGCGUAAAGCGCGCGCAGGCGGUUUCUUAAGUCUGAUGUGAAAGCCCCCGGCUCAACCGGGGAGGGUCAUUGGAAACUGGGAAACUUGAGUGCAGAAGAGGAAAGUGGAAUUCCAAGUGUAGCGGUGAAAUGCGUAGAGAUUUGGAGGAACACCAGUGGCGAAGGCGACUUUCUGGUCUGUAACUGACGCUGAGGCGCGAAAGCGUGGGGAGCAAACAGGAUUAGAUACCCUGGUAGUCCACGCUGUAAACGAUGAGUGCUAAGUGUUAGAGGGUUUCCGCCCUUUAGUGCUGAAGUUAACGCAUUAAGCACUCCGCCUGGGGAUACGGUCGCAAGACUGAAACUUAAAGNAUGCGNGNGAGNGNGACGAGACGACGAGAGGAGAG